UAGGGAAUCUUCCACAAUGGGCGAAAGCCUGAUGGAGCAACGUCGCGUGUGUGAUGAAGGGUUUCGGCUCGUAAAACACUGUUGUAAGAGAAGAAUGACAUUGAGAGUAACUGUUCAAUGUGUGACGGUAUCUUACCAGAAAGGAACGGCUAAAUACGUGCCAG
rnacentral:rRNA from 1 species